GGACUCGACAAUUUGGUUGGACUAUAAAUGUCCCUUAAAAACCAACAACCUAAGGAAGUAUAGCAGUGGAUAUGAAUUUAUUACUACUACUAUUUCCCUUUUCCUCUUUUCUUUCUGUUUGGGUGUUUUCUUUGCCUCCUCUUUUCUUGCUUUAUAUCUUUUAUUACUACAACUAUUCUUUUUUUCUUUCCUUUCUUUUUUUGUCGUUAUUUAUUUUCUACGCCUUUUCUUUUGGGGUAGUAACGUUUAGUAAGGUCAAGGAAUGUUCGGUGCUCACGCUACAUAUCAUAAGCUUAGUGAAGGACGGUAAAAUUCUAACGACGGAGAAAAAAAAAAAGUUGAAUGUGGUGUCUAGUUUUGGUUGCAUCCAAUCGGCAAACAUGACUGAAGUUGAUGUUUUAGCUAACUUAUAUAUUAGUUGGAUGUACGGAAAGUGUUGUAUAGCAGCCAGAAACUAUAUCAAGGGAAAAAAACUGUAAAUAUGAGUGAAGAUUGUGAGUUCUGUUCUUAUAAAUGUACUGAAAGAGGAGAGAGAGAAAGGAUUGCAGUUUAUGUUUUUAGCUAACUUAUAUAUUAGCCAGACGUACAGAAAGUGUUUUAAAGGGAUCAUAAACUAUAGCAUGGGAAACACUGUAAAUAUGAGUGGAGAUUGUGAGUUCUGUUCUUAUAAAUGUACUGAAAGAGGAGAGAGAGAAAGGAUUGCAAUUUAUGUUUUUAGCUAACUUAUAUAUUAGCCAGACGUACAGAAAGUGUUUUAAAGCGAUUAUAAACUAUAGUAUGGGAAACACGGUAAAUAUGAGUGGAGAUUGUGAGGUCUGCUCUUAUGAAUGUACUGAAAGAGGAAAGAGAAAAAAAGGAAAGGAUUGAAAUUCAUGUUUUUAGCUAACUUAUAUAUUAGUCGGACAUACGGAAAGUGUUUUACAGCGAUGAGUAACUAUAUCAAGGGAAAAAAAACUGUAAAUAUGAGUGAAGGGUGUGAGGUCUGUUCUUAUGAAUGUACUGAAUGAGGAGAAAAAGAAAUUAUUGAAAUCGCUGUUUUUAGGUGACAUAAAUUAUACAGUUAAAGGAAGUUUUAAAGCUUGUGGAAACUAUAUCAAAGGAAGAGUGACUUUAAAAUAUGACUAAAGGAAGAAAAGGAGAGUGAAGGAGGGAAAGGGUUUGAAGGGCAGACUAUACUAUAUUAAUGAAGAAAAGGAAGGAAAGCAAGGGUCUGAAUGGCUAACUUUACUAUAUUAACGAAGAAUGGAAAGGAAAGAAAGAGCAUGAAUAGUAGAAAGGGAAGGAAAGCAAGGGUCUGAAUGGCUAACUAUACUAUAUUAACGAAGAAUGGAAAGGAAAGAAUGAGUAUGAAUGGUAGAAAGGGAAGGAAAGAAAGGGUAUAAAUGGUUGACUCGAGCAUAUCAAAGACGUGAAUGGAAGACAGACGUAAAGUAGAUAGGCCGAUAAAAAGACACAAGAUGAAAACCGGUGAUGAUGAUGAUGACGGUGGUGAUGAUGCAGAAAACGAAGAUACUUAAAAUAAUUACUUUGUUGUUUGUUUAGGGUUUGUGUACUCAGUGUGUUAUUAAUUAAAAGUUUGUGUGUGUGAGCGUGUGGGCGAGAGGAACUGUUUACCUACAGAAUGAAAGAAAAAGGAAAACAAAAGAAUGGAUAUAAAAAAGAUGAAAUAAAGCAACAUAAAUACAUAAGCUUAAAAGUAAUCCUCAUUUUUGUAGGAUUAAUAAGCUUGUCUAUCUGUCUGUCUGUUUCUGCCAUUCCUUUAGUGAGAGCAGAUUUUAACACCUUUUUUCAUAUCGGGCAGACUUGGGUCAGACAUUCGAUAAUAAUAAUAGUAAUGGUUACAAUAAUAAUAAUCUCACUUGCAAGAACAAUAUUACUCAUGACAUUCUAUUCUAUUAGUUUGCUUAAUAUUAUGGUCUUUAUUUUCUAUUUAUACUCCUUACCAAUAUUUUUUUUCAUCUUUUCCCUUUUUAUGAUUUCGUAUUGUGAAUUUUCGGGCAUCAUUUACCCCAGACAAUAAUAUAAUCUUAAUUUCCUUUAAAUUUAAUCCUUACCAAUAUUUUCUUUAAUUCCUAUCCUUCUUAUAUUAUCUUCUAAUGUGAAAUUUCUUGCAUUAUUUUCAAAUUUCUUAACUCCAAGGGAAACUUAUAUUACCUUGAAAAUCUUAAGCACAAUUUUCAUACACUCCAAACAAUAUUUUAUUUAUCCAUUCACUUUAUAUAAACUUCUAUUAUGAAUUUUCUUGCAUUAUUUUACCGCAGAGGAAGAAAUAUUACUCUAACAACCAUCACUUUAUAUAUAACCUUUAUCUUUUCACUCUCUCCAUUAAAUUUGCCUCAUUUCUCCUUACAUUUUACCUCCUUUUCACUCCCCAUAUGUUUCACCUUUUUUCCCUUGUAAUAAAAACAUAUGAAACGGAAUUAUAAAAAGUCUUCCCAGAGCAACGCAGCAAUAUAUAAGUCCCUGUAUCUUGGGUGUGGAUGACGGUAACUCAGUCUGGACCACGUCUUCGGAACACUUCAUACAUUCGCCUAUAUCAGCGUUGCCAAAUUAUCAUACUAACCGCAAUGAAUUUUCGUAGUUUCUCCCCGAUAACUAUUACAAAAAGGAAAACCAUCGAUAUUUAACGGUUUCAACGAUAACUUUAACAGACUAUCGUUAUUUAUGAAGGCACGACAGUUUUGGGGGGCCUAAAAAUGAUUGAUGCAAUGCUCAGAUCAUGACAAUUUGGCAAUGCUCGCCUAUAUUCAUAAACGUAUCGAGCUCCCGUGACACUUAUUUCCAAGGCCGCAGGGAAGAUUAAUCGUUUUUUUCAUGGGUGGUUUUUGUGUUCAUGGUGCAGAGGUCAUGUAAAACUAUUGCUAGCAUCACGAAUUGGUCCAUGAAAAGCCCGGCAACUUCUAUAGGCUCUCAAUGCAGUCCAUGAAAUAGCCCAGGAACUUCUAUAGGGUCACAAAACACUCCCUGAAAAGCCCAACAACUUCUAUAGACUCACAAAACACUCCAUGAAAAUCCAAGUCAUUUCUAUAGACUCACAAAACACUCCAUGAAAAGCCCCAAAACUUCUAUAGACUCACGAAACAGUCCAUAAAAAGCCCGGCAACUUCUAUAGACUCGCGAAACACUCCAUGAAAAUCCAAGUAACUUCUAUAGACUCACGAAACAGUCCAUGAAAAAGCCUGGCAACUUCUAGACUCACGAAACAGUCCAUGAAAAACCCAGCAACUUCUACGAGAGGCCUUUCAAACAGGUGAACGUAGGUGCCAAUACGUUUAAGAAUGCGGAAUUUUGUAUCUCGAGGCGUGUCAUUGUAACUGCUGGUAUGUCUCGGGAAACGCAUUGUACUAUCCGUAACUUAAGACACAUAGUACUCUUGUAGCCAUAUGUGUGUGUGUGUGUUGAGGUCAGACAUUCAGCCAUCCAUUCAGCCAGUGUGUGUGUGUGUGUGUGUGUGUGUUCGGGGAAAGUAAUUUAAGAGUUGAAAGUGAAACAGAAAAGUCAUCAGAAGGUUUUAAUUAAUUUAGUGUUCUCGCCGCGCCUCUUAAUAAGUUGUAGACUCGGAAAUUCGUCAACCUUUUCCUUGUUUUUUUUUCUUCUUUAUUAUUAUUUUAUUUUUCUAUUGUUAUUUUUUACUACUGUUUGAUCUAUUAUUUCUAUUAUUCAUUCUAUUUUUAUCUUUCUUUCCUGUUGCUGUUAUUUUUUUUGUUAUCUUUUACUAUUUUUUCUAUUAUUUAUUUCUAUUAUUCAUUCCAUUCUUGUAUUUUUAUUAUUUUUGGGACCAUUAGUCCUUUAGAAAUUUUGUUAGUAUGUACUUGUGUUCUUAGUUCUGUUCAUUAGUGUUUUUUUAUCAAUGUAUAUAUUUUUUUAUCUCAGUUAUUUUUUGUUGUUUUCAGUUAUUCGCAAUUGUUUCAUUAUUCACAGUUCUUUUCUUUGUCAUUUUCUUCUUGUUAUUUGCAAUUGUUUUUAUCAGUUACUUUUUUUGUCAUUUUCCUAUUGUUAUUUGCACUUGUUUGAUCUUGUAUAUUCACUAGGUUUAUUUUGUCAUAUUUUCAUUGAUAUUUUCUUCCGGCCUUUCUUUGUUUUGUUAUGAAGUCAUUGAACAUUGUAAUUUGCACCUGUUGGUAUUGCUAAUAGUUUUCAUCUUCACUUAUUAUUAUUUCUUUGCACUUGUUAGUAUAUAUAUUGUGUUCCUCUUUUGCAAUCUUCUCUUAACCUGGUAGCAGCGACAGGCCAAGUUUGUGGCUUUACCGUGUACCAGCGACAGGCCAAAUUUUUGCCAUGAUAUAAACCCCCCCAAAAAUAGAUGAUGCAUAAACUGAUCACAAAUGCGUAUAUAUAUAUUAUGAAAUGGUUUGCGUGAGUGAUGAUUUUUUCUCAUUACUCUCACUUAGAGGGAAGGGCGUAUAAGAAACAUGAUCCCCGCAGCUACCGGGUUAAGCUAUGGUAAAUCUCACUCCCUUCUCAUUGGAUUUUUGUCCUUGUAAUUUGCAUCUGUUCGUGUUGAUAUGAGGUUUUUUUUUUUCAUAUUUCUUAACUUAUCAUAUCUUUGCAAUUGUUAGUAUAUUUUUGUUGCUGUGUUGUGUAUCAUUGUCAUGGAUUGCUCAAACGGACAUUUUUGUUAUUUAUUUUCAAGGCUUCGUAAUUAUCUGGUAAAUCACUCAAGCCUCUCAUUGUAUUAUUUUCUUAUGCUUGUUAUUCUCAGUACUGUGAAUCAUGUGCAUUAAUACUGUUUUAUGUUAUUAUACUUUGCAAAUUAACUUGUAUUAUUGGUAAAUCACUCAAGCUUCUCGUAUUUAUCUCUCACACUUGUUAUUCUCGGUACUAUCAAUCAUGCACAUUAUUACAGUUAUCAUUAUACUCUACAAAUUAACUUUUUUGGGGGUAAUUCUCUGGUAAAUCACUCAAGCUCCUCAUUAUAUUUAUCUCUCACACUUGUUAUUCUCAGUACGAUCAAUCAUGUGCAUUAUUACAGUUAUCAUUAUACUCUACAAAUUAACUUUUUUGGGGGGUAAUUCUCUGGUAAAUCACUCGAGCUUCUCAUUGUAUUUAUCUCUCACUUGUUAUUCUCGGUACUAUCAAUCAUGCACAUUAUUACAGUUAUCAUUAUACUCUACAAAUUAACUUUUUUGGGGGGUAAUUCUCUAAGUCACUCAAGCUUCUCAUUGUAUUUUCUCAUUAUUGUUAUUCUCAGUACUAUGGGUCAUUAUAAUUGCAUUGUGUUAUCAUUCUCUGCAAAUUAAUAGACAUUGACAAAACUGGAAAUUCUUGGGAGAUUCACUCAGCUUCUCAUCGUACGUAUUUUACUCACUCGUUAUUCUCAGUGCUAACAGUUGACUCAUUGUUAUUGUUCAGAUAAACGUGACAAUAAACACUUCCCCCUUCCUCAGUAAGAGUUUAGGCUAAAUCUCAAUGGUGGAUGCUGGGAAGGGGUUUUAAUAUUAUUGGUGAAUCUGUCAAUCUGAAAUGCAUAAUAUUCUCUCUCAAGCCAGACUCCUUGCCAGUUUUGUUCAGUAAGAGAAGAAAGGCGAAGUUAUGAAAAGAGGAGAAAAAAAUAAUAUUCUGCUGUACUUUAAAGGAAUCAGGAGAACUUCCAUUGCUUAUUAUCUUUAUUUUAAGUCAUUAUUAAUUACUUUUCACUGUUUUCUCAUUUCUACUCUCCAUAUAGGGGCAGUGAUUAGCAGACUUUUUCUUUGUUUAUUUAUUUUUGCCCUUGAGCUGCCUCCUUUACUGAAAAAAAAAUAAUAAUAAUAAUUCCACCUCAACCCCAAUGGAAACAGAAGCAUCGGUCCGGUUCCUCCCAACUCUCCUGUUUCCUCCGUUUUCUCUCUUCUUCUUCUUUUUUUUUUUUUCUUUCUUUUUUUUCCUCCUGUUUUUAUUCCACGUCUUCUGACACAGGUAUUCUCUCUCUCUCUCUCUCUCUCUCUCUCUCUCUCUCUCUCUCUCUCUCUCUCUCUCUUUCUUUUGCAGCUUCUCUUUCUUUUUCUUUUUCUUUCUCGUAUUUCCCUUUUACUGUGCGAAAGAAUCCGUCUUUUUUUUUUUUUUUUUUUCUGCACCUUCAUGUGAGCUUGCUUUUUUUUUUUUUUUUAUAUAAUCUUUUUUAUACAUCCCAUCUUCCUCUUCCUCUCUUCCAUAGUUAAGCAAAUCAUUUUAAUAUUUUGCAUCCUCUUUUUCAUGUUUUAUUUCUCAUUUCUUUUAUCUUUUGCAUUCAAUCAGCACUUUCCUUUUUCUUUUUCUCCUCCCAUUCCCCUCUUCUUUCCUUUCUUCCAUAGUUCAGCAUUAUCUUUUUUUUUUUUUUUUUCAUCUUUCCUCUUGUUUAUCUCUUUUUUUUUUUUUUACUUGCAUUCAACUGACACUUUUUCUUUUCUCUUCCCCUUCUCCUCUUCUUUCCUCUCUUAAAUAGUUUAGCAUUAUCUUCUGUUGCUUCUCCUCUUUCCUCUUAUUUUCCCUUUUUUUUUAACUUGCAUGCAAUUCACAGUUUUUUUUCUCUUCUCUUCCCCUUCUUCUCUUCUUUCCUCUCUUCUAUAGUUUAGCAAGUUAUUCUAAUCUAUUCCUUCUCCUCUUUUUCUCUAUUUCUUUCUUUACCUUUCACACACACCUACCACUUCUCUUUUCCUUUUUUCCUUUCUUUUCUCUUCCUCUUUUGGUUCAUCUCUAUUUCUCUCUGUCUCUCAUUCUUUAUUAUUCACAAGCAAUUUACACUUUUAUUUAUCUCUUUUUCUCCCCUUUAUUUUCUCUCCUCUCUUCCAUUCCAUAGUUAGGCAUUUUAUUGUAAUCUCUUUUGCUUCUCCUUUCUCUUCCUUUUAUGUAUCUCUCUCUCUCUCUUUCUCCCUUUCAUAUGCAUCUGCCGAUUUAUUUUUCUAUCGGUGUUUUGUUUUUCAUCCUUGGCAAACGGAAUUUUAACGAGUCAAUACCAUGUCCGAUUUUUGCUCUUGGAGUUUUUUAAUGAUUCACUUUAUCCUCUUUUUUUUCUGCAUUAUAUUCAAUAGCAAACAUGUCAUUCUUGUCGUUUGUUGCAUCAUUCUCGAACAUUAUUCUUAUUAUUGUUGUUAUUUUUCCUUCAUGUCCUUCCCCCUACCUAAAAAUAUUCUUUACGAAGGUCAGUGUGUGUGUGUGUGUGUGUGUGU